CAUACCAUGAACUCUGUUCACCAGAGAGCUGCUCAUAGAAUCAAGUGGGGUUAGGAAUUUCUGGAUAACAUGAUAACUCCUGAGAUUAGUGGCACAGUGAGAUGGGUUUAGCCUUGUCUCACUCCCUAAUCCCAUCCUCUAGCCCCACACUACCCCAGCCAUCCCAUCAUCCCAUGCUUCUCUUCCUACCUAAUUGGGUACAGAAUGAGAAAAACGGUCAGGAACAAGAGAUGGUGACAGUAAAGAGCACCAAGUAAACCUAUUGAAAGAACACCAGUGGCCUCACGUGGAAUAAUUUUAACUCCACUGAUGCCUCCUACAAUCAAGUAAUCAAAUCAGCCAACUCUCUGGAGAAAUAAUGAAAACAAACUGUUCUGUUCUUAUUCUUAAUUUAACAUUUUUCAUCUUAUGAAUUGGAUACAAUUGAAGCUUGGAAAUACCUGAAUUUUAAAAAUUUGGCAUAUCUUUUUAGAACUCAGUUAUUACUUAAAUCCAUCCAUCAGACACCACCAAAAAAUAGAACCUCUUUAAUAAUUUCAGCAUGAUUAGAAAGAAUGCAGUCUACCCAAGCGGGACUACUGUGAAGGAGAUAACAUUCAUUUGAAAAGGAUACGUGGAAGUGGGAUAAAGAUCACUUUCAGAAAGGAGUACAUCAAAAAAAUUCCCAUCCAAGGUGUCAAUGUCACUAAAGGAAUAUUCUCUGCUAUUUAAGUGAGAAUUCUUCCACUUCUUUCCAUUUCAUCAGGCAGAGAUUAUUAUACAUUUUGAAGCACAUGUUGGAGCUUGGAAGAAGAAUGAAGGAUAAAUAAGGGUCUUGUGCUAUGGACAAAGCAAA
rnacentral:lncRNA from 1 species